rnacentral:rRNA from 1 species
GAUGAACGCUAGCUACAGGCUUAACACAUGCAAGUCGCGGGGCAGCAUGGGGGUUGCUUGCAAUCCCCGAUGGCGACCGGCGCACGGGUGAGUAACGCGUAUCCAACCUGCCCUUCACCACGGGAUAACCCGGCGAAAGUCGGACUAAUACCGUAUGUUGUCCAUUGACGGCAUCCGAUUUGGACGAAAGGUUUGGCGGUGAAGGAUGAGGAUGCGUCCGAUUAGCUGGACGGCGGGGUGACGGCCCACCGUGGCGACGAUCGGUAGGGGUUCUGAGAGGAAGGUCCCCCACACUGGAACUGAGACACGGUCCAGACUCCUACGGGAGGCAGCAGUGAGGAAUAUUGGUCAAUGGGCGUAAGCCUGAACCAGCCAAGUAGCGUGCAGGAUGACGGCCCUAUGGGAUGUAAACUGCUUUUAUGCGGGGAUAAAGUGGCCCACGUGUGGGUUUUUGCAGGUACCGCAUGAAUAAGGACCGGCUAAUUCCGU